rnacentral:rRNA from 1 species
UACAGAGGUCUCAAGCGUUGUUCGGAUUCAUUGGGCGUAAAGGGUGCGUAGGCGGCGCGGUAAGUCGGGUGUGAAAAUCAGGGCUCAACCCUGGACCUGCAUUCGAUACGGGCAGACUAGAGUUCGGCAGGGGAGACUGGAAUUCCUGGUGUAGCGGUGAAAUGCGCAGAUAUCAGGAGGAACACCGGUGGCGAAGGCGGGUCUCUGGGCCGAUACUGACGCUGAGGAGCGAAAGCGUGGGGAGCGAACAGG